rnacentral:rRNA from 1 species
AUUGAACGCUGGCGGCAGGCCUAACACAUGCAAGUCGAGCGAGCGGCGGACGGGUGAGUAAUGUAUGGGAAUUUGCCCGCUGGUGGGGGAUAACUAAUGGAAACGGUUGCUACUACCGCAUACUACCGGACGCGCCCAUAUGGGAGUAGCUAGUAGGUGGGGUAAAGGCUCACCUAGGCGACGAUCUCUAGCUGGUCUGAGAGGAUGAUCAGCCAAAAGGGAAGUGUGACACGGACCAGACUCCUACGGGAGGCAGCAGUGUGAAAUAUUGGACAAUGGGCGGAAGCCUGAUGCAGCCUGGCCGCGUGUAUGAAGAAGGCCUUGGGGUUGUAAAGUACUUUCAGCGGGGAGGCGUUACCCGCAGAAGAAGCACCGGCUAACUCCGUGCCAGCAGCCGCGGUAAUAC